rnacentral:rRNA from 1 species
UGGGGAAUAUUGCACAAUGGGCGAAAGCCUGAUGCAGCGACGCCGCGUGAGGGAUGACGGCCUUCGGGUUGUAAACCUCUUUCAGCAGGGAAGAAGCGAAAGUGACGGUACCUGCAGAAGAAGCGCCGGCUAACUACGUGCCAGCAGCCGCGGUAAUACGUAGGGCGCAAGCGUUGUCCGGAAUUAUUGGGCGUAAAGAGCUCGUAGGCGGUUAGUCGCGUCUGCUGUGAAAACUCGAGGCUCAACCUCGGGCUUGCAGUGGGUACGGGCUGACUAGAGUGCGGUAGGGGUGACUGAAUUCCUGGUGUAGCGGUGGAAUGCGCAGAUAUCAGGAGGAACACCGAUGGCGAAGGCAGGUCACUGGGCCGCAACUGACGCUGAGGAGCGAAAGCAUGGGGAGCGAACAGGAUUAGAUACCCUGGUAGUCCAUGCCGUAAACGUUGGGCACUAGGUGUGGGGUCCAUUUCCACGGAUUCCGUGCCGCAGCAAACGCAUUAAGUGCCCCGCCUGGGGAGUACGGCCGCAAGGCUAAAACUUAAAUGAAUUG